CCCUUUCUUUGUGUCCCUUCAGGGAGAGCUGGGCUUGCCAGGUCCACCUGGAAUGGAUGGUGAAAAGGGUCCUAAAGGAGCAAAGGGUGACCAGGGCAGCAUGGGGAUCAUGGGGCAAAAAGGAGAGACAGGAGAAAUGGGCUCAGCAGGUCCCCCGGGAGCAGAAGGGCCAAAAGGAGACAAGGGAGAAAAAGGAGACACUGGGUCACCCUGUCUGCAGAAUAAUCAUAUCAUACCUGAGCCUGGACCCCCCGGAUUACCUGGCCCUAUGGGUCCUCCAGGAAUCCAGGGACCUAAAGUAAGUCAAUAAAUUGAAUGUCACCCAGUUUCCCAGCUGCCAGUGCAUUAUUUACAGCCUCACAAAGGUCUGUCAGCUCUGAAGACUGAGUUUUUUGUCACUGUUGUCACAACAUAUCCCUUGGUUACACUGUUCAGCAGUUGGCAUUUUGGAAAACAAGCCAUUUUUCCUUCCAAGCAUUUACAAUCCAAACCCCUCCUCCAGGACAGAGUUCUGAGGGCUGGUGAGAGUCAGGGUUUCCAAACCAAAAGGCUUAUAACCUGCAUUUUCAGCUAUUUUCUUAUAUGAUGUGGUCAAGAGCAAGACAUCAACAGCAGUGUGUGGGUGUAAGCACCCCAGAGCAGGGGUGGGAGCUGGUGGGUGCAGGAGGGGCUGCCCUGGCCAGAGCUGCCAGGUCUCCUUUGCUCAUUUAUUUCAUUUCUGCAGGGUUUGGAUGGUGCAAAGGGAGAAAAAGGUGACAGUGGUGAGAAGGGGGACCAAGGUGACACCGGACCUGCUGUGAGUUGUUUUCCCAAAUCUCAUUUCUGGCUGUUGACAGAAACCUGUCUCACAGGAAACAAUCCUAAUGCUUUGUUUCUUUUUAAUUUAAGGGUCUCCCGGGUGCUCCAGGGCUCAUUGGUUUACCUGGUACCAAAGGAGAAAAGGUAAUCAUGGGUGUGGGAGAGGAGCAGGGACAUUUGGGUGCAAUCCUAAAAUAGGGGCUGUAAAAUCCUGCUGUG
rnacentral:lncRNA from 1 species